CCGACCUUAGCUCAGUUGGUAGAGCGGAGGACUGUAGUUGGAGACAUCCAAAUGGAUAUCCUUAGGUCGCUGGUUCGAAUCCGGCAGGUCGGA
rfam:Lupinus angustifolius cultivar Tanjil contig_44181, whole genome shotgun sequence.